rnacentral:misc_RNA from 1 species
GGGGUAAGAGGAGUAGUGUUGUUCAUCCAAAAACUCUUCAAAACUUUGUAAAUUUUCCAGUUUUUUCAUGUCUAAAAACGUUUUAUAAAUGAUUGAAUUGUUUUAAUUUAUUAAUUCUAAAAUUUUUAGAAUUUAUGCUUCAAUUAUGUCAUCAAACUAGGGAAUUACAUAAUCCCAUUAUGAUUUCUACAAGUGAUCCAGGCGUAUUAAAUGAUUCUAUUUUUAAAGCAUUCUUAAAUUUAUUCGACAAAUGUGACACUGGGAAAUCAAACGUUGUUCAAAAGACUGAUCUUGUUAAAGUCAUUUCAUCAUCAGCGGGUGACCAAAACCCCAACAUUGAAGACAUAAUAGAAAACAUUCUUGGACUGCAAGAUGACAACCAGUUGAUUACAAAAAAUGAAUUCAUCAGAAAAAUUGAGAAAUAUAUCGAUAGCAAUCAGGAAUGUGUCGGAACUCCCAAAGAGCAAGUUACCACUGAUUACUUCUAUUAUUCACCUCACCACUGCUCGACACCAAGUGACAGUUCGUCGAACGAAUUGAAGAGAUUGGAAACAAUCUGUGAUGACUUGACGGUGCAAGUUCAAAACGCCGAGGAACAGAACACAAAACUCAGACAUGAGAAUUAUCUGCUCAGUACCAGCUACAAUCAGCUGUCGAUCCGUAGCAGAGAACAGCAACAGCUGUUGGACGAGCUGCAGCUGGAUGUGACAAAGAGGGAGACUCGCUGUUCGACUCUGCAGCGCCGGCUGGCCGACUGCGAGCAGCUGUUGGAGAAGGAGCGAGAGAGAGGUCACGAGCUGCAGGCCACUGUGAAGAGAAAGAGCGACGAUCUUGCCGCUGUUGUGGCGGUGUUGAAGGGGGCGCAAAAGGAGAACGAUGAACGGAGAGGGGAGAUGGUCGAACUGGAGAGAAAGUUGGAACUGAAGGAAGACGAAUGCGCGGCUUGCUGUAAGAAACUGUCUGACCUUGAGAGCGUUUUUGAGAGUGAGAUGGUCGACUGCCUGGAGAAGAUAGAGACUCUCGAGAAGAGAAAUCAUUUUCUCGAAGUGGAAAUGAUACAGGCCUUGAAUAGAAUUGAGGAGCUGGAAGGUUUGAACAAGGAUUUAGAAAUAAAACAUAGAAUCCUGGAGGAUUCAACUGCACUGAAUGUUGGAGAACCUUGUUUUGAAUCGACUGUCACUGAAAAUGAGAUCAAUGAAGAAUCUUGUGAAAUGGACACUCAUGAGGUUGAUCACGUAAAACCUUCGACAGGAGAUAGUGGAUGCUUCGACACGUUACCUUCUCUCAGAGACGAAAUUGAAGCUGUGGGUGAAAGCGUUGAUACAUUUGUGUCUUUUGAGGAGUUUGUAAAUCAGGAACAGUCAGAUCUUGCUAAUCUUUAUAAAAUCAACGAUCAGCAGAAAACUAUUGAUUCCCUGACAGAAUUGGUAGCAACAGAACGGCAGAAUAACAAAUUGAGUAGUGAAGAAUUGGAAAAGUGUAAAAGGGAAUUGUGUAAAUUUCAAGAGACCGUUGAAAUUCUGAAACAAGAAAAGCAAAGACUGGAAGAUGAGUGGAAAAUUUAUAAGUUGCGACAGGCAGAAAGUACCAGUCAGACUAAGAAGGAAAUUUUGAAACCUGCUGAAAGUUGUACAACAGUUGCAACUCUAGACCCGAAGUUUCGGGACAACAUUAAAAUGCAGCAACUAACCAUUCAGAAAUUGGUUGGCAAGAUUUCAAAGCUACGCUCCGAAGUUGUGAGCGAGCCAAAGUACAAGGACCUCAAUCCGACAUCGAAAAUUAUUGUAGAUGGCAGAAUAAACGAUACACAGAAAACUACCUUGCAAAUUUUAGAAAGUGAAGUUGAUUCAAAUGAAGAUGAAAUUACCGAUGUGGCCCUAGUUGUGUAUCAACCUCUAGAUGAAAUGAAGGCAGAUAAUUGCUCAAAAUCGUCCACUAGAAAAAAGCGCAAGAGAACUCCUAGUCGCCUGGGGUCCUACAGUGGACUCUGAGAGAGAGCGCAGUCAGCUGUCUGUCAUCCUCGCCAUCAGCUGUUGUCCGUCAGCUGAUUUGUCCCUAUGUGCACUUCAGGUGGAAUGAGCCUCCGCCUUUCUGAAGACUGACUCAUCUUCAAUAUUAUGGAAGCAUUCAAUUGUGAUACGACAUUAGACAACGUUUUACUCAUUAACUCACUUCAUAAUCUAAAGACUUUCCUUCAUUAUCAUGAAGGCAUUAGACAAAGUGUUACUUAUCAAGUUACUUAAAAUCUAAUAUCUACCUCCAUUAUCAAUGAUACUUGAUGAUAAAUGUUUAGUAGUUUAAAUCUGUAAUAGUUAAUAUAUUUCUCAAACUAGUGAUUUUUAUAGUUUCCACUUAUCAAUGCAUAGCAAUACUGGAUUAUUGUGUUUUGUUGCUAG